rnacentral:rRNA from 1 species
AACGAACGCUGGCGGCAUGCCUAACACAUGCAAGUCGAACGGGAUCCUAGCUUGCUAGGUGAGAGUGGCGGACGGGUGAGUAACACGUGGGAAUCUGCCUUUUUGGUUCGGGAUAACCGCGGGAAACUGCGGCUAAUACCGAAUGCCCUCGAGAGAGGAAAGAUUUAUCGCCAGAAGAGGAGCCCGCGUCCGAUUAGGUAGUUGGUGGGGUAAAGCCUACCAAGCCGACGAUCGGUAGCUGGUCUGAGAGGAUGAUCAGCCACACUGGGACUGAGAUACGGCCCAGACUCCUACGGGAGGC